UGCUGAGCUAAUAGAAACCAGCUGGUUGCUGAGCUCUAUAAAGGGAAGCUUACAGCAAGCUAAAAGCAUGCUUAUUCUGGCUGUGCCCAAAGCAGACUCCAUUACCACUGCAAGCAGCAAGGCCUGAGGAAGUUACAUUCAACACACUAAGAAUCGUAGAAUCACCAAGUUGGAAAAAAGACCUCCAAGAUCAUCUAGUCUUGCCUGAUGAAUAGGCACAUACACAAGAGAAGCAAACAAGUGUGGGUUAACUGAAGAUGAGCCAACAUAUGUCUUGUUAAGGUAAAAUUCAUGUGCUUUAAAUCAUCACAGCUGUGUUAAAUAUAAUACCAUCUUGAUGUAGGGAUUUGUUUUGAAACAUUUGCAGUUACUCAUUGGAGUCAAUAAGCAGGU